rnacentral:rRNA from 1 species
CCUACGGGGGGCAGCAGUGGGGAAUAUUGGACAAUGGGGGGAACCCUGAUCCAGCCAUGCCGCGGGUGUGAAGAAGGCCCUCGGGUUGUAAAGCACUUUCAGUGAGGAAGAACGCCUGGUGGUUAAUACCCAUCAGGAAAGACAUCACUCACAGAAGAAGCACCGGCUAACUCCGUGCCAGCAGCCGCGGUAAUACGGAGGGUGCGAGCGUUAAUCGGAAUUACUGGGCGUAAAGCGCGCGUAGGUGGCUUGAUAAGCCGGUUGUGAAAGCCCCGGGCUCAACCUGGGAACGGCAUCCGGAACUGUCAAGCUAGAGUGCAGGAGAGGAAGGUAGAAUUCCCGGUGUAGCGGUGAAAUGCGUAGAGAUCGGGAGGAAUACCAGUGGCGAAGGCGGCCUUCUGGACUGACACUGACACUGAGGUGCGAAAGCGUGGGUAGCAAACAGGAUUAGAUACCCCUGUAGUC